ACCGAAUUGUCAACAAGAGUUGUUGCUGGUCCCCAUACGGGGGCAUGUGCACACUUUGUUUACACAUCCACUCACACCUGUGCACCCUCCGUAGUUCUAUGGCCUGGGUGGGCUCUGUCCUCCUGGCGUGGUUCUACGUCUUUACACACACACUACAACAAAGUCUUAUGGAAUGUAUGUCGCGUUUAACGCAAUGAAAUACAACUUUCAGCAACGGAUCUCUUGGCUCUCGCAUCGAUGAAGAACGCAGCGAAAUGCGAUAAGUAAUGUGAAUUGCAGAAUUCAGUGAAUCAUCGAAUCUUUGAACGCACCUUGCGCCCUUUGGCUAUUCCGAAGGGCAUGCCUGUUUGAGUAUCAUGAACACCUCAACUCUCAUGGCUUGCCAUGAUGAGCUUGGACUUUGGGGGUCUUGUUGGCCUGUGAGCCAGCUCCUCUUAAAUGAAUUAGCUUGCCGGUGUUUGGUGGCAUCACGGGUGUGAUAACUAUCUACGCUUGUGGUUUCCCACCAGGUAACCUUCAGCAAUGGAGGUUCGCCGGAGCUUAUAAAUGUCUCUCCUCGGUGAGGACACAUUUUGACCAUUUGAUCUCAAAUC
rnacentral:sRNA from 1 species